rnacentral:rRNA from 1 species
UACAGGGGGGGCAAGCGUUGUUCGGAAUUACUGGGCGUAAAGGGUUCGUAGGUGGCUACGCUCAGUCAGACGUGAAAUCCCUCAGCUUAACUGGGGGAACUGCGUCUGAUACUGGAUAGCUUGAGUGCAGGAGAGGAACGCGGAAUUCCAGGUGUAGCAGUAGAAAUGCGUAGAUAUCUGGAGGAACACCGGUGGCGAAGGCGGCGUUCUGGACUGCAACUGACACUGAGGAACGAAAGCCAGGGGAGCAAACGGG